CAUUAAAGAAUAAACUUGGUGGGUUGCUGCUGGCUUUCUCUGAUAGCACUGUGCACACUCGUCAUUUUUACUUUUCCACCUGUGCACCUUCUGUAGACCCCUCCUGGCUCAUCGAGAGGAGUAAUUCUUUCGGAGUUGAGGUUUGCUGUGCGACCUUGGUUGUCAGCUUUCCUGUUUCACAACAUCCAGUGGGUCUACGUUAUUACACAUACCCCAAACGAAUGUAUUAGAACGAUAGCAAGGCCCUAAAAAGCCUAUAAAAUCUAUACAACUUUCAGCAACGGAUCUCUUGGCUCUCGCAUCGAUGAAGAACGCAGCGAAAUGCGAUAAGUAAUGUGAAUUGCAGAAUUCAGUGAAUCAUCGAAUCUUUGAACGCACCUUGCGCUCCUUGGUAUUCCGAGGAGCAUGCCUGUUUGAGUGUCAUUAAAUUAUCAACUACUACUUCAUUUUUUGUUAAAUGUUGAAGUAGCUUGGAAUUGGGAGCUUUGUGGGCCUCAUCGUCUGCUCUCCUUAAAUGUAUUAGCUGGAAUGCCCCUGCAGUCCAUCUGUUAGUGUGAUAAUUAUCUACGCUAUGAAGAUGAGACAGCCUUUGAGUGGGACUCUGCUUCUAAACUGGUUGGGCAUUAAAACCCUGACUAUUAAACGAUCAUUUGACCU
rnacentral:rRNA from 1 species